CAGCCGCCACGGUAAUACAGAGGUCCCGAGCGUUGUUCGGAUUCACUGGGCGUAAAGCGCGCGUAGGUGGUUCAUUAAGUUGGAUGUGAAAGCCCUGGGCUCAACCUGGGAACUGCAUCCAAAACUGGUGAGCUAGAGUACGGUAGAGGGUUGUGGAAUUUCCUGUGUAGCGGUGAAAUGCGUAGAUAUAGGAAGGAACACCAGUGGCGAAGGCGACCACCUGGACUGAUACUGACACUGAGGUGCGAAAGCGUGGGGAGCAAACAGGAUUAGAUACCCCCGUAGUCCCUGUCUCUUAUAA
rnacentral:rRNA from 1 species